AAUGAACGUUGGCGGCGUGGAUUAGGCAUGCAAGUCGAGCGCUCAUAGCAAUAUGGGAGCGGCGGACGGGUGAGUAACGCGUGGGAACGUACCCUUUGCUACGGAAUAGCCCCGGGAAACUGGGAGUAAUACCGUAUGUGCCCUCUGGGGGAAAGAUUUAUCGGCAAAGGAUCGGCCCGCGUUGGAUUAGGUAGUUGGUGGGGUAACGGCCUACCAAGCCGACGAUCCAUAGCUGGUUUGAGAGGAUGAUCAGCCACACUGGGACUGAGACACGGCCCAGACUCCUACGGGAGGCAGCAGUGGGGAAUCUUAGACAAUGGGGGCAACCCUGAUCUAGCCAUGCCGCGUGAGUGAUGAAGGCCCUAGGGUUGUAAAGCUCUUUCAGCUGGGAAGAUAAUGACGGUACCAGCAGAAGAAGCCCCGGCUAACUCCGUG
rnacentral:rRNA from 1 species